rnacentral:rRNA from 1 species
GAGGAAUAUUGGUCAAUGGGCGCGAGCCUGAACCAGCCAAGUAGCGUGCAGGAUGACGGCCCUAUGGGUUGUAAACUGCUUUUGUAUGGGGAUAAAGUCAAUCACGUGUGAUUGUUUGCAGGUACCAUACGAAUAAGGACCGGCUAAUUCCGUGCCAGCAGCCGCGGUAAUACGGAAGGUUCGGGCGUUAUCCGGAUUUAUUGGGUUUAAAGGGAGCGUAGGCCGGAGAUUAAGUGUGUUGUGAAAUGUAGACGCUCAACGUCUGACUUGCAGCGCAUACUGGUUUCCUUGAGUACGCACAACGUUGGCGGAAUUCGUCGUGUAGCGGUGAAAUGCUUAGAUAUGACGAAGAACUCCGAUUGCGAAGGCAGCUGACGGGAGCGCAACUGACGCUUAAGCUCGAAGGUGCGGGUAUCGAACAGGAUUAGAUACCCUGGUAGUCCGCACAGUAAACGAUGGAUGCCCGCUGUUGGUACCUAGUAUCAGCGGCUAAGCGAAAGCAUUAAGCAUCCCACCUGGGGAGUACGCCGGCAACGGUG